rnacentral:lncRNA from 1 species
UGGGGACAUUUGGGGAAUGGGGGUGGCUGGGGGACAAUGGGGACAGUUGGGGACAACUGGGGACAAUGGGGACAUUUGGGGAUAUUUGGGGAUAUUUGGGGACAUUUGGGGAAUGGGGGUGGUUUGGGGACAAUGGGGACAUUUGAGGAUAUUUGGGGACAUUUGGGGACAUUUGGGGACAUUUGGGGACAUUUGGGGACAUUUGGGGACAGCGCCGCUCUCGCUGCCACCCGCGGCCGAGAAGCCCCGCCCCCUCCCUCCUCGCCCCGCCCCCUCCCUCAUCGCCCCGCCCCUUUCCCACAUGACCACGCCCCCUCUCCAAUAACCACGCCCCCCUCCUCCAAGCCACGCCCCCCGCUCGUGGCCACGCCCCCUUCCUCCCUCCGCGGCGGGGCUCGGGCGCCCCCGUGCGGCCUGGAGGGGCCGGGACCGGAACCGGAACCGGAACCGGAACCGGAAACCGGAACCGGGACCGGAACCGGAACCGGGACCGGGACCGGGAGCGGGGCCUGGGGGGGCCGAGACCGGGCCUGGAGGGGCUGGGACCGGGAGCGGGGCUGGGAGCGGGGCCUGGUGGAGCCGGGACCGGGGCCUGAGGCCUGGGGGGGGGGCCGGGACCGGGACCGGGACCGGGAGCGAGGCCUUGGGGGUGCCGGGACCGGGCCCUGGCUUGGCUGAGGCCUCAGAGAACCAGGCCCAGGCCCUGAGGCCCGGAGGCUUCGGUCCCGGUGAUGGAACCGGAGCCGGGCCCGGCUCCCGGUGCUGCAGCCCCGCGGCCGUCCCGGUGGGACUGGGCCUGCCCGGUGGCUCGGCGCAGGCUGGAGGAGCUCUGCUUCCCCCGCCGGGCCUGCCCCGAGGACACCCGCAGCUUCUGGGCCUUCUUCGAGCGCCUGCGCCGCUUCCAGAGCCGCCGCCCGGAGCGGGAACCAUCACGGGACGACGAUGAUGAUGAUGAUGAUGAUGAUGAUGAUGAUGAUGACAAGGACCGGCCGCCCUCCCGCCGCCUCGGUUUACCGCCCCGUUACCACCCCCGGCACCGCCUCAACCUGAGGGUCCCCACCCCGGAGCCGUCCCCGAGCCCCCCCGGGGUGCCCCGGGAAGCGCUGCGGGAAUUCCUCGACGCCUUCCUGCUCUACCUGGACUUCGAG